rnacentral:rRNA from 1 species
GGGCCCGCACAAGCGGUGGAGCAUGUGGUUUAAUUCGAUGCAACGCGAAGAACCUUACCUACUCUUGACAUCCAGAGAAGCCAGCGGAGACGCAGGUGUGCCUUCGGGAACUCUGAGACAGGUGCUGCAUGGCUGUCGUCAGCUCGUGUUGUGAAAUGUUGGUUAAGUCCCGCAACGAGCGCAACCCUUAUCCUUGUUUGCCAGCACGUAAUGGUGGGAACUCCAGGGAGACUGCCGGUGAUAAACCGGAGGAAGGUGGGGACGACGUCAAGUCAUCAUGGCCCUUACGAGUAGGGCUACACACGUGCUACAAUGGCGCAUACAGAGGGUUGCCAACCCGCGAGGGGGAG